CGUAUGUCUGUGUAUGGGAGGCGUUUAGUUCCCGCCACCGAGGCAAUGACGGUGACCCCUCAGCAUGGUCAGUCACUUAGCUCCGAUCUUCUCGACUGAUCACAUCCUCUUUAUAUUUAUGGACAAGCCAAGCAGAUCGUACCCUAGCAGUGCUCUACCACCUUGUCCUAACGACUCUCGGAGCCCUACAUCUUGGCCCUGUGAUUCUCGGUGCCUACGACUUUCGGUGCCCUACAUCUUGGCCCUGUGAUUCUCGAUGCCCAACAACUAUCGAGUGCAACGAACUCGCCUGAUUGUAACCUGGCAGUUGUAAUAUUGAUUUGGGAACAAUUGUAAAUAAUUAUGAAUAUAUUGUAUUUGUGUAAA